CCGGGUUUGGCGGAAUUGGCAGACGCACCAGACUUAGGAUCUGGCGAGGCAACUCGUGGGGGUUCAAGUCCCUUAACCCGGA
rfam:Spiroplasma mirum ATCC 29335 strain SMCA, complete genome.